CCUACGGGGGGCAGCAGUGAGGAAUAUUGGUCAAUGGGCGAGAGCCUGAACCAGCCAAGUCGCGUGAAGGAAGAAGGUUCUAUGGAUUGUAAACUUCUUUUGUAAGGGAAUAAAAAGUGGUACGUGUACCAUAUUGUAUGUACUUUACGAAUAAGGAUCGGCUAACUCCGUGCCAGCAGCCGCGGUAAUACGGAGGAUCCGAGCGUUAUCCGGUUUUAUUGGGUUUAAAGGGGGCGUUGAAGGCAGUGGUGAAAGUUUGCAGCUCAACUGUAAAAUUGCCAUUGAAACUGAUUUUCUUGAGUGUAAAUAAGGUAGGCGGAAUGUGUUGUGUAGCGGUGAAAUGCUUAGAUAUAACACAGAACACCAAUUGCGAAGGCAGCUUACUGGGAUACAACUGACGCUGAGGCACGAAAGCGUGGGGAUCAAACAGGAUUAGAUACCCGGGUAGUC
rnacentral:rRNA from 1 species